GAGGCUUGGGGAACCGCCUCUCUGUGAGGCUUCUCGGGAAGGAAGGCUCCCCGAAUCCAGCGUCAAUGGGGUGGGAGACGCUGCUAGCCCAAAACUCAGGUUGCUAUAGGCUGGCGAUUUCCGUCUGCAGGCUUCCCUGGGCUUAGAGCGGGCUUCUGAGAGCUUCCCCCAGAGAGCAGCCACUCGCUCUGCCCUCCUGCUCGAAUAAAGAGGGCAAAUACCCGAUUUCAUUGAGUUCCGGUAACUUUUGAGUAACUUGUUAAAAUCUUUGUCAUGAAGAAACUCUACUGUUGCAAGUUUUUAUUAUCGUUUUGAAAGACUGGCAACGGAAGGCGGCUGCAUGAUUUUCGAACGGAAUUUGUGGCCCCUUUGGGAUGGUGUAAACUUACUCAGCUCCAAAUACAGCCAUUCAAGAGGACCAUUUUUUUUUCCACAUGAAAAGUCUUGCAGAUACACAAACUUCUCUUCAAACCAGUGUCGUUUUCAUGAUAAAGAAGUAGCAGAGUGUUUAAGAUGGAGACGGCUACGGCUGGGCUGGAACCUGAAAAGGAGGCCAGGUGUGAGCCGGUGGCUAGCCGGAGGUGCGCACCUGAUUUCAG